GACGAACGCUGGCGGCGUGCUUAACACAUGCAAGUCGAACGGAAAGGCCCUGCUUUUGUGGGGUGCUCGAGUGGCGAACGGGUGAGUAACACGUGAGUAACCUGCCCUUGACUUUGGGAUAACUUCAGGAAACUGGGGCUAAUACCGGAUAGGAGCUCCUGCUGCAUGGUGGGGGUUGGAAAGUUUCGGCGGUUGGGGAUGGACUCGCGGCUUAUCAGCUUGUUGGUGGGGUAGUGGCUUACCAAGGCUUUGACGGGUAGCCGGCCUGAGAGGAUGACCGGCCACAUGAGGACUGAGAUACGGCCCAGACUCAUACGGGAGGCAGCAGUGGGGAAUAUUGCACAAUGGACGGAAGCCUGAUGCAGCAAAGCCGCGUGCGGGAUGACGGCCUUCGGGUUGUAAACCGCUUUCGCCUGUGACGAAGCGUGAGUGACGGUAAUGGGUAAAGAAGCACCGGCUAACUACGUG
rnacentral:rRNA from 1 species